CUGGUCCCGUGUGGCACGGUGUGGAGAGGUCACGUCUCAUGCCGUGUGACGGUUUAAUAUGCUGCGUGGAGCAUGAUCUCCCUACACAGUGCCGCGUCUGUCCGG